rnacentral:rRNA from 1 species
UACGGAGGGUGCGAGCGUUGUUCGGAAUUAUUGGGCGUAAAGCGCACGUAGGCGGCUCGGUAAGUCUCACUGUGAAAGCCCGGGGCUCAACCCCGGGAGGCCAGGGGAUACUGCUGGGCUGGAGACAGGCAGAGGCUGGUAGAAUUUCGGGUGUAGCGGUGGAAUGCGUAGAGAUCCGAAGGAAUACCGGAGGCGAAGGCGGCCAGCUGGGCCUGGUCUGACGCUGAGGUGCGAAAGCGUGGGGAGCGAACAGG